rnacentral:lncRNA from 1 species
CACAAUGUAGGGUACGAUAGGCUGAUCACCUGGAGUACUUGCAGAGACCGUUUACAAUCUAUUUGAUUGUUAAACCGUCUAAUGGUUUUUGAUGAAACAAAGUAAUGUUCUGGGUAUCCAACACCCCUUAGUAUGCUAUUGAGAAUUCCAGAACUCUUAUCUUUAUAUUCCAGUUUAUCUCUUGAUAUUUAUUUCAACUGUUGAGAAAUAUUCAUACUAAUGCUUUU